UGAAUUUGAAAUCCACUAUCCAAUGUCUAAAUUUGAAAUCCACUAUUCACUGUACGUGUUGUCAACCCCAUCCCUCUAACAUAAAUAUCGCGUAAGAAUUCGAAAACCACUAUUUACUAAAACCACUAUCCACUAUUCACUGUCUAAAUUUGAAAUCAAUUAUUCACUGUCUAAAUUUGAAAUCCACUAUUCACUGUACGCGUUGUCAACCCCAUCCCUCUAACGUAAUCCACUAUUUAAUGUCGAAAACCACUAUUUACUAAAACCACUAUUUACCGUAAGCGCAUCGACACCCCCUCAUCUAUUCCUCGCGCUCGCAGCAGGUAUAUUUUAUCUGAAAUCCACUACAAGUUCAUCAAAAAUCACUACAAAAAUAUAGAAAUCCACUACAAAAGAUCCCUUUACAAAGAGGAAACCCACAAAAAAACUUGCCUAAAUUCACAAAAAAAAUCUCCUUUAAUAAACAAUGUCAUUGCAGACAAUAGUAGAGUCACCCGAGCAUCACCCAACCUCGUCCUACUUGUUGCCAUCACUCCGUUUGUGCAAAAACCUGAACCAAAGAAAAAGAAGACAAUAACGUGUAAAUUUAAUUCAUUCAAAACAAAAUCGGUUUACAAAGCAACAAUUUUAAAUCUACUACAAUCUCAUCCAAACCCACUACACAAAGUUAGAAAGAGAAAUAAACAUAUAAAACUUACUAAACAUAUGAAACUGACUAAACAUUCUCCCCCACGAACAGAACAUGAGUUUCCAUUCGAAUGGAAGGAAAUACGAUAUUAAAUUAAAUUAUUAUUAAAAACUGUGCAUUCCCAUUUACUGAAAACAAAUAUUCAAUUAAAAUUGAAAGGCUCCGAAAAAUCAAGUAAACAAAAUUGAACAAGAAAUAAUCAAAAUUCUCCAUAUUUUUCAAAUUAUCCAUACAUCUCGUCGAUCCCAUCGCAAAAAAAAAAAACAGAGAACACAAAAUAAUCAAAAUUCUCCAUACUUUUCAAAUUACCCGUACAUCUCGUCGCUCCCAUCACAAAAAAAAACACAGGCUCUUUCUGUGUUGUCUGGGAGAGAUGGAGAUCUCCGCUCUAGAGGCGGUGAUGAUGACGAAGCGGUGGAGGUCUCACGUCAGCGAAGAUGACCGAGAUUUGGAGGAAGAUAUCUC
rnacentral:lncRNA from 1 species